UGCGCUUUGCAGUUCCGGGCGGGGACCCAGCCCCCGGACGAGGGUUCCGGCGGAGGAAAGGAGCCCCGACUCCUCCCCCUCGUCCCCCCUCCCCCACUUGCCCGAGCGCGGACCGGUUCCGGGGUCCUUGGCCGGAGCGCUCAUCAUGAGACAGCGCUGGUAAUGACCGUGUGCUCGGAGCGUGCUCGUGCCCCCAGGGCCGCAUUUCCACGCACAAGGGGGCAGAAGAGGGUCGCUUUGCGGGAGUGAAUGGCCUCCCCAGAAGGUACCGAUGGACUGACUCAGUGCCCAGAAAACCAGUCCCACUGAGUGCUGGCAUUCCCUGCAUGUGUUUGACUCAAACAAGGGACGCCUUGGGUCUCCUAGCCUCCUUGCCAGGGUGUUUGAUAAAGUUGAUUGAAAUCUUGAAGUUCAGGAAGUUUUGACUCCUUUCCCUUUGCAGAAAGAGAGGAGAAAUACGUGCAUGUUUGACCAGUCCCAACUCUGCCAGGUAGUAUCUUGAUGAGGAUACUGCGACUCAGCAAAGUUGCCUGACUUAGCGAAGGCCGCACAGCUGCUGAGGGAGUGGCAGCCUGGGCGGGAGCCACAUCUGCCUGGCUGCAGGUCCCUGCGUGUGACCGGUCGCCUGCCGAAGAAGGCACGGAGACAGGUGCUACCCUCGGGCACCAGGCAUCGGAAGGAGCCAUCUUCUGGGUUUGCAUUCCAGCUCUGCCAUUCGCUGGCUGAGUAACCUUAGUGCCUGGGCUUCAGCUGACUCAUCUGUAAAACAGUCCUGAGAAGUAGUACCGAUCUGGUAGGAUUGUUAUGUGGAUGGAAUAAAGUAGGCAAAGCCCCUAAAAGAGUGCAUAGCACAUGCCAACAAUAGGGCCAGCUGGGCCUUGGAGAGUGGACCUGCAGCUCUCUGCACACAGAAUGUGCCCAAGAGAGCUGCCUAGAGAAGCUCCAUGAUGCAGCAGGCAGACAGCCCCCCACCAAGAACCCAGCUGUGUUCAUCUUAUAACUGGAGGACAGGCAUCUAUCACCUGCCUCGUGUAAGUGGCCCUUGGAGAAGACCAGCAGCAGAAUCUCCAAGAUAAUCCCAAAAAGUACCCACUGAGUGGAAGAAUCAGCCUUGAGUGGGAUGGAGCCAGAGAGCACAGCAGCGCAUCACCACGGCACCAAGUGAAGCUGGACAUAUGGCUGCCCAGAAUAACGACUUCCUUUCCCAGCCUCCCCUGAUAGCUCGGCAUGGCCAUACCCCUGCGUUCUUGUCUGUGGCCUGUCAACAGAAGUGUCCUUAAGGGAGAUGGCAUGUCCUCCUUGCUCUUCCUCCGUCCUGUUGUCUGGAAUAGGGAUGUGAUGGCUGGCGCCGGAGCAGCCAUAUGGGACCAUGAGAAGAGACCCAUGUACUGAGGACAGCGGAAGGAAACAAGAGAAGGGCCUUGAGUCCCUGACACCCAGGAACGCCGUGCUAGCUGAAACUGUGGCUUUCAGGUUCUUACCUGGGUGAGAAAUAAACAUCCG